CGUGCAGGACUGGGUGAGGAAGUGUGGUAGUAAAUUAAAGCUGAAGCACAUCAAAGAGGAUUCAGGCAAGGUUAAUUGACUGGCUUGUGAGUUUUCCAGGACACUCCUCCAGUCCCUGUCAGAAGCACUAAUUCAAUUUAUCAGUAGUUCAUGCCUAUAAUAUGCGCAUUACUGGAGUCUCACAAACACAGAGGCCCUGCAUGUUAGACACGGCAUUUGGGUCACACUCAUGCAAGACACUGAGGUUAUUUUCUCAGCUAAGAUUCAACUAGAAGUUUACUUUUCUCAUAGAAAAUAUUGUUCUUGGAAAAGUACAAUGUAUUCUUCACUGUGUUUGCAAGAAUGUACUCAGAUAAAGACCUCUAAAGAAUUUACCAACAGCAACUCCAUGCUAGACAUCAUUGCCAGACACUGGGCUGCAAAGACGAUUUCAGGUUGUGAGCACUUAGAAAUGUAUGCAGGCUGCAGGCAACAGAGAAUCCAACUCCAGCUACCAGGGAGUUUGCAAAGCCCCCCCUCUCGUGUCUCUCUUGACUUGGCUGUGGAGGUUACUAUAGUCGGAAGGUGGCCAUCUGCAAGUGGAAAGAAGGCCCUCAAAAGAGCCCUGAUCUCGGACUUCCCGGCCUCCAAGAACUGUACUGAAACCUUAAUCCCCAGGACCUCAGAAUGUGACUGGGUUUGGAGAUAGGAUCUUUAAAGAGGUGAGUACAUUAAAAUGAGUCUGAAGUGUGAGUCCUAAUCCAACUCUUCCUUAUAGGAAGAGGAAAUUUGACCACAGAAGGACACCAGGGAUGCAGGGAUGUGCAUACAGAGGACUCAGCGAGAAGGCAGUUAUCUAGAAAACAGAGAGAGGCCUCCGGAGAAAUUAGACCUGCAACACCUUGAUUUUGGACUUUCAGCCCUCAGAACUGUGAGAACAUAAACUUCAGUUGCUUAA